rnacentral:rRNA from 1 species
UGCAGUCGAACGGUAACAGGCCGCAAGGUGCUGACGAGUGGCGAACGGCUGAGUAAUGCAUCGGAACGUGCCCAGUCGUGGGGGAUAACGCAGCGAAAGCUGCGCUAAUACCGCAUACGAUCUAUGGAUGAAAGCGGGGGACCGUAAGGCCUCGCGCGAUUGGAGCGGCCGAUGUCAGAUUAGGUAGUUGGUGUGGUAAAGGCUCACCAAGCCAACGAUCUGUAGCUGGUCUGAGAGGACGACCAGCCACACUGGAACUGAGACACGGUCCAGACUCCUACGGGAGGCAGCAGUGGGGAAUUUUGGACAAUGGGCGCAAGCCUGAUCCAGCAAUGCCGCGUGCAGGAAGAAGGCCUUCGGGUUGUAAACUGCUUUUGUACGGAACGAAACGGUCUGAGUUAAUACCUCGGGCUAAUGACGGUACCGUAAGAAUAAGCACCGGCUAACUACGUGCCAGCAGCCGCGGUAAUACGUAGGGUGCAAGCGUUAAUCGGAAUUACUGGGCGUAAAGCGUGCGCAGGCGGUGAUGUAAGACAGUCGUGAAAUCCCCGGGCUCAACCUGGGAAUUGCGAUUGUGACUGCAUCGCUGGAGUGCGGCAGAGGGGGAUGGAAUUCCGCGUGUAGCAGUGAAAUGCGUAGAUAUGCGGAGGAACACCGAUGGCGAAGGCAAUCCCCUGGGCCUGCACUGACGCUCAUGCACGAAAGCGUGGGGAGCAAACAGGAUUAGAUACCCUGGUAGUCCACGCCCUAAACGAUGUCAACUGGUUGUUGGGUCUCUUCUGACUCAGUAACGAAGCUAACGCGUGAAGUUGACCGCCUGGGGAGUACGGCCGCAAGGUUGAAUCUCAAAGGAAUUGACGGGGACCCGCACAAGCGGUGGAUGAUGUGGUUUAAUUCGAUG